rnacentral:rRNA from 1 species
UGGGGAAUUUUGGACAAUGGGCGAAAGCCUGAUCCAGCAAUGCCGCGUGUGUGAAGAAGGCCUUCGGGUUGUAAAGCACUUUUGUCCGGAAAGAAAUCCUUGGCUCUAAUACAGUCGGGGGAUGACGGUACCGGAAGAAUAAGCACCGGCUAACUACGUGCCAGCAGCCGCGGUAAUACGUAGGGUGCAAGCGUUAAUCGGAAUUACUGGGCGUAAAGCGUGCGCAGGCGGUUUGCUAAGACCGAUGUGAAAUCCCCGGGCUCAACCUGGGAACUGCAUUGGUGGCUGGCAGGCUAGAGUAUGGCAGAGGGGGGUAGAAUUCCACGUGUAGCAGUGAAAUGCGUAGAGAUGUGGAGGAAUACCGAUGGCGAAGGCAGCCCCCUGGGCCAAUACUGACGCUCAUGCACGAAAGCGUGGGGAGCAAACAGGAUUAGAUACCCUGGUAGUCCACGCCCUAAACGAUGUCAACUAGUUGUUGGGGAUUCAUUUCCUUAGUAACGUAGCUAACGCGUGAAGUUGACCGCCUGGGGAGUACGGUCGCAAGAUUAAAACUCAAAUGAAUUGACGGGGUCAUGCUGUUUCCUG